UACGUAGGGUGCAAGCGUUGUCCGGAAUUAUUGGGCGUAAAGAGCUUGUAGGCGGUUUGUCGCGUCUGCUGUGAAAUUUCGGGGCUCAACCCCGAACUUGCAGUGGGUACGGGCAGACUAGAGUGUGGUAGGGGAGACUGGAAUUCCUGGUGUAGCGGUGAAAUGCGCAGAUAUCAGGAGGAACACGGAUGGCGAAGGCAGGUCUCUGGGCCAUAACUGACGCUGAGAAGCGAAAGCAUGGGGAGCGAACAGG
rnacentral:rRNA from 1 species